CUAUAUUCUUGUACAUUACCAAUUUAUUUUAAUUUACAUCUUUAUAAAACUAAGGAUUUUAGUCGAAUAUUCCAUCUCCAAAACACAAGACUGCAUUUUAAUGUGUACAAGAAUAAUCGCGUAGAAAAAAUGCAAAUUUAAAAAUAAUUAAAUUAUUCCAUGUAUGAAAACAUUUUGAAUAUAUAUAAAAUAAUCAUUAAUUAGAACUAUUGUACAUGACUUGUAAAAAUACUUACAUAUAUGAAUAAAUUUCUGAGUGUACUAUACAA